GUAGUUGAACCUUGGGCCUGGCUGGCCGGUCCGCCUCACCGCGUGUACUGGUCCGGCCGGGCCUUUCCCUCUGUGGAACCCCAUGCCCUUCACUGGGCGUGGCGGGGAAACAGGACUUUUACUUUGAAAAAAUUAGAGUGCUCCAGGCAGGCCUAUGCUCGAAUACAUUAGCAUGGAAUAAUGAAAUAGGACGUGCGGUUCUAUUUUGUUGGUUUCUAGGACCGCCGUAAUGAUUAAUAGGGACAGUCGGGGGCAUCAGUAUUCAAUUGUCAGAGGUGAAAUUCUUGGAUUUAUUGAAGACUAACUACUGCGAAAGCAUUUGCCAAGGAUGUUUUCAUUAAUCAGGAACGAAAGUUAGGGGAUCGAAGACGAUCAGAUACC
rnacentral:rRNA from 2 species